AAAAUUUUGGCCUUGGAUUUCAUGGAAAGGUUAGCAAAAUGUCAACCUGUCACAUCUUAUUAACAGUAAUAAUAACAACUCACACUUGUGAAAGCAAAUGCCAUCUGCGGAUCCUAAAGCUCUCAGCAAACACUCGCACACCAGCCUGAGAAAGGCAAUGCUCUCCUUUUUAGCUAGGGAGAAAUGGAGGCAGAAGGAGCAGAGAAAUGGAGGAGGACUCCAGACAGCGCUCAGGAGCAACACCAGAGGCGCAAGGAGAGAGGAGAGAACAUGCUGGAGUGGCCCAGGCGGAGCCGAGCACUACUGGAGAAAGAAGUUCCUAUUAUUGCAAAUAAAUAAUGCUGCUGCACUACCUCUUCCGCCAGUAUCUCCCUGGGUGGACAUCAUCUCCUGUGAUUCAUCAGAUCAUCAGAUUCAGAAGAAAGCAGGAUGAGAGUGGUACCCUGGGGGCACUACCAGGUCAUGGUGCCUCCUGGGAAAUGAAGUCUGCUGGCUCAUGGAGAAGCACAACAGCACAGCACGCAACUGCACUUCCCACAAGGUACUCAGCUCUCAUUUCCACAUGGACACUAUUUCAUCUCUGAGGCAAAAUAUUUUGUUUCCUGGGAAAAAGAUUUUUCACCUCACUGCCAAAGAAAACCACAACAUAGCAGCAUCAAAAUUCUGUCACAGCUGGUUUCAAUAGAUGUUUUUUGACCGGAUGUUCCGUCUAUGUCAGUAGGCCAGACCAAAAAAAAAGUAAGAGAAACAGUAAGGCAACGAUGUCUCACCCACAGACCUCCAGCAGACUAGGAUAUAACAUUAGCAUCUCCCCAGACAUGGUUGCUUGCUCCUGCCCACACUCAGAGCAUCAUACUCAUCCCGUUAGAAAGGGUACUUUCAUUCUGAAGAAAAUUAGCAUUUGAGAUUCCCAGUGCCAUAAAAGUUAAACAAAUGAAUAAGACACUGAUUCUGGAUGCAUAGCAAUAAGGAGAGGGAGUUGUUUUCUCUUUUGCCAAUUGUUUUCUAUUUAUAUUGUAAUGUUUCUCUCUUUUUAUCAGUUUAAUUUUCUUUCGUGUAAUUUUGUUUUUAUGGAACAGAUUCAUCCCUGCUGUACUUUUGGCAGAAUUUAAAGAGAGAGAAAGACAUCCCUUUGUGUCUUCAAGAGAUAAAUAAAACAUUAAAAUCUUUCUUGAAACUUU